rnacentral:rRNA from 1 species
CAAUAGCGUAUAUUAAAGUUGUUGCGGUUAAAAAGCUCGUAGUUGGAUUUCUGCCGAGGACGACCGGUCCGCCCUCUGGGUGUGUAUCUGGUUUGGCCUGGGCAUCUUCUUGGAGAACGUAGCUGCACUUGACUGUGUGGUGCGGUGUCCAGGACUUUUACUUUGAGGAAAUUAGAGUGUUUCAAGCAGGCACACGCCUUGAAUACAUUAGCAUGGAAUAAUAAGAUAGGACCUCGGUUCUAUUUUGUUGGUUUCUAGAGCUGAGGUAAUGAUUAAUAGGGAUAGUUGGGGGCAUUCGUAUUUAACUGUCAGAGGUGAAAUUCCUGGAUUUGUUAAAGACGGACUACUGCGAAAGCAUUUGCCAAGGAUGUUUNCAUUGA